UCUGUCAGAAACUUCGGUGCGUGUCUGCGUGGGUUUGCUUGGUGAGGCUGCGGCAGCGUCCAUGCUCCGAGUCCCCAGGGCUCCGAAGAUGAUUAAUGAUAACAAAGCUUUCCCUAUUGUGUUAGCGGGUAGGAAGGAAGGAAGAGUACUCUAAAAAGAGAGUGCAUAGAAUUGCAGAGUAUUGAAGUUCAGAGGUAGAGCUUAACCCUUUAGACCGGCUGCAGAAUUUCUUCCAGUUGUGCGAGGAAGGUGUCGGCUGCUUCGUCGUCACCGCGAAGUCUGCCCAGUGGCUGCGUGAGCCCGUCCCUGCCCCAAGAGCAGGAGCACGCGGGGGAAACCAUCACACUGCGAUGUAGCAACGCUUCUGGAUGAGGUGGACUGCUCGCAGUUUAACAAAUGGAAUGAAAAAGAAAAUUGAAUACUUCAUGACAAGAGAGGGAUUAUGGUAACGCUGCUCUGUACGGGAAGCCUAUCAUGUCCAGGGCCAGAUCAUGCUUCUGAGAUCUGGGCAUCAACUACAAGAUCUCAACGCCUGCCUUCAGGACCACAGCUGGAGUUCUUCAGCUGCGAUUCCACCAGAUUACUGGCUGCAGGAGCCUCUAAUGUAUUUGGACCUUAUAUCUCAGUGAGUGAAGGCAGCGACGAUCAUGGCAAGGAUAACUGGCUGGUGGUGGCAAUCGGGCCUCUGCAUGGAGAGCUUUGGCCUCCUGCAGCCUGAAAGUUUCCCUGGGUUUACGAGCAGCUUCUGAACAGAGGUGGAGAGCAAACCUUUGCCUUUGACACAUUGCAAGAGAAUCUCUGUGAAGAAAUCUUGGUGGAGGUUGCAUCAUAAAAAGCCCACUCCUAAAGCUAAGUUGGAGGAUGUGGCAAUAUAGCCCCAGCAAUUUAAUUGCUAUGUUCCUUUAAUAGCAAUUGUUCUUUCCAUUAAGGGCCACCACAUGCAACCUGAUUAUUAGUUGGCUGGAAAACAGAAACGCUUUGUUUCAGUGAGGCACGUUACCUGAUACACCUAACAUGGGAUUCCAUUAAAAAAUGUACUGGGAAUUUUUAAAACUGGUUUUACAGCAGAUACAUUUUAUCAAAAGAUUCGCUUUUUUAAAAGAAAUUCAAAUGCUGUAGUA